AUUGAACGCUGGCGGCAUGCUCUACACAUGCAAGUCGAACGGUAACAGGCCGCAAGGUGCUGACGAGUGGCGAACGGGUGCGUAAUGCAUCGGAACGUGCCCAGUCGUGGGGGAUAACUACUCGAAAGAGUAGAUAAUACCGCAUACGAUCUAUGGAUGAAAGCGGGGGACCGUAAGGCCUCGCGCGAUUGGAGCGGCCGAUGUCAGAUUAGGUAGUUGGUGGGGUAAAGGCUCACCAAGCCAACGAUCUGUAGCUGGUCUGAGAGGACGACCAGCCACACUGGGACUGAGACACGGCCCAGACUCCUACGGGAGGCAGCAGUGGGGAAUUUUGGACAAUGGGCGCAAGCCUGAUCCAGCAAUGCCGCGUGCAGGAAGAAGGCCUUCGGGUUGUAAACUGCUUUUGUACGGAACGAAACGGCUCUGGUUAAUACCCGGGGCUAAUGACGGUACCGUAAGAAUAAGCACCGGCUAACUACGUG
rnacentral:rRNA from 1 species